rnacentral:rRNA from 1 species
CCCUUAGCUGUUCUGGGCCGCACGCGCGCUACACUGAUGCAUUCAACGAGCCUAUCCUUGACCGACAGGUCCGGGUAAUCUUUGAAUCUGCAUCGUGACGGGGAUAGAUUAUUGCAAUUAUUAAUCUUCAACGAGGAAUGCCUAGUAGGCGCAAGUCAUCAGCUUGCGUCGAUUACGUCCCUGCCCUUUGUACACACCGCCCGUCGCUCCUACCGAUUGGGUGUGCUGGUGAAAUGUUCGGAUCGGCCGUUUGUCGCGGUUUCCGCGUCAUGUGGCUGAGAAGUUCAUUAAACCCUCCCACCUAGAGGAAGGAGAAGUCGUAACA